UUUUUUGGUGGCUGUGCGUGGGAGACCUUCGGGUCUGCCGGUUUGUGCCUUGUCCGGUUCGCCAACCCGCGUACAGCUGCCACCCAU
rnacentral:antisense_RNA from 1 species